CGAUGAAGCUCCAGCUUGCUGGGGUGGAUUAGUGGCGAACGGGUGAGUAACACGUGAGUAACCUGCCCUUCACUCUGGGAUAAGCCUUGGAAACGAGGUCUAAUACUGGAUAUUCAUACAUGGUCGCAUGGUUGUGUGUGGAAAGAUUUUUUGGUGGGGGAUGGACUCGCGGCCUAUCAGCUUGUUGGUGAGGUAGUGGCUCACCAAGGCUUUGACGGGUAGCCGGCCUGAGAGGGUGACCGGCCACACUGGGACUGAGACACGGCCCAGACUCCUACGGGAGGCAGCAGUGGGGAAUAUUGCACAAUGGGCGAAAGCCUGAUGCAGCGACGCCGCGUGAGGGAUGACGGCCUUCGGGUUGUAAACCUCUUUCAGUAGGGACGAAGCGAGAGUGACGGUACCUGCAGAAGAAGCACCGGCUAACUACGUGCCAGCAGCCGCGGUAAUACGUAGGGUGCGAGCGUUGUCCGGAAUUAUUGGGCGUAAAGAGCUUGUAGGCGGUUUGUCGCGUCUGCUGUGAAAGACCGGGGCUUAACUCCGGUUCUGCAGUGGGUACGGGCAGGCUAGAGUAUGGUAGGGGAGACUGGAAUUCCUGGUGUAGCGGUGAAAUGCGCAGAUAUCAGGAGGAACACCGAUGGCGAAGGCAGGUCUCUGGGCCAUUACUGACGCUGAGAAGCGAAAGCAUGGGGAGCAAACAGGAUUAGAUACCCUGGUAGUCCAUGCCGUAAACGUUGGGCGCUAGGUGUGGGACUCAUUCCACGAGUUCCGUGCCGCAGCUAACGCAUUAAGCG
rnacentral:rRNA from 1 species